rnacentral:rRNA from 1 species
UUGAAGACGACGACGUUGAUAGGCCGGGUGUGUAAGCGCAGCGAUGCGUUGAGCUUACCGGUACUAAUGACCCGUGAGGCUUAACCUUACAACGCCAGAGGCGUUUUG